rnacentral:rRNA from 1 species
AGAGUUUGAUCCUGGCUCAGGAUGAACGCUGGCGGCGUGCCUAAUACAUGCAAGUCGAACGAGUUCUGAUUAUUGAAAGGUGCUUGCAUCUUGAUUUAAUUUUGAACGAGUGGCGGACGGGUGAGUAACACGUGGGUAACCUGCCCUUAAGUGGGGGAUAACAUUUGGAAACAGAUGCUAAUACCGCAUAAAUCCAAGAACCGCAUGGUUCUUGGCUGAAAGAUGGCGUAAGCUAUCGCUUUUGGAUGGACCCGCGGCGUAUUAGCUAGUUGGUGAGGUAACGGCUCACCAAGGCAAUGAUACGUAGCCGAACUGAGAGGUUGAUCGGCCACAUUGGGACUGAGACACGGCCCAAACUCCUACGGGAGGCAGCAGUAGGGAAUCUUCCACAAUGGACGCAAGUCUGAUGGAGCAACGCCGCGUGAGUGAAGAAGGCUUUCGGGUCGUAAAACUCUGUUGUUGGAGAAGAAUGGUCGGCAGAGUAACUGUUGUCGGCGUGACGGUAUCCAACCAGAAAGCCACGGCUAACUACGUGCCAGCAGCCGCGGUAAUACGUAGGUGGCAAGCGUUAUCCGGAUUUAUUGGGCGUAAAGCGAGCGCAGGCGGUUUUUUAAGUCUGAUGUGAAAGCCCUCGGCUUAACCGAGGAAGUGCAUCGGAAACUGGGAAACUUGAGUGCAGAAGAGGACAGUGGAACUCCAUGUGUAGCGGUGAAAUGCGUAGAUAUAUGGAAGAACACCAGUGGCGAAGGCGGCUGUCUGGUCUGUAACUGACGCUGAGGCUCGAAAGCAUGGGUAGCGAACAGGAUUAGAUACCCUGGUAGUCCAUGCCGUAAACGAUGAAUGCUAGGUGUUGGAGGGUUUCCGCCCUUCAGUGCCGCAGCUAACGCAUUAAGCAUUCCGCCUGGGGAGUACGACCGCAAGGUUGAAACUCAAAGGAAUUGACGGGGGCCCGCACAAGCGGUGGAGCAUGUGGUUUAAUUCGAAGCAACGCGAAGAACCUUACCA